GAGUUAGUCGGUCCUAAGUUCAAGGCGAAAGCCGAAAAUUUUCAAGUUUUAAAAAUGUCAAAUGAAAUAAUAAAUAAUAAAACACUUGAAUAAUUUUGAACGAAAGGGAAUACGGUUCCAAUUCCGUAACCUGUUGAGUAUCCGUUUGUUAUUAAAUAUGGGCCUCGUGCUCAUCCUGGCAACAGGAACGACCAUAAAGAAGCCGUCGAGAGGUAUCGGAAGAGUUUUCUUUUCUGUUUUAUAGCCGUACUACCAUGGAAGUCUUUCGCAGAGAGAUAUGGUAGAUGGGCUAGAAGAGCAUGACAUAUACUGUUGUGUCGAUAUUUUCUCCUCGGACCUUGAAAAUUUAUGGUGGGGAUACGCAAACUUCUCAACAGGCCGUACCAAUAUCCGCAGCUGGUCUCCAAGGUGAAGAGUCUCUAGUCGAUAGAAUAAUGUAGGUAAGGGAAGUCGGCAAAUUAGAUCCGUAACUUCGGGAUAAGGAUUGGCUCUGAAGAUUGAGAUAGUCGGGCUUGAUUGGGAAACAAUAACAUGGUUUAUGUGCUCGUUCUGGGUAAAUAGAGUUUCUAUCAUUUAUGAUAGUUAUUUGUUCCCCGGAUAGUUAGUUACGUAGCCAAUUGUGGAACUUUCUUGCUAAAAUUUUUAAGAAUACUAAUUUUUAAUUAGUUCUUUUAAAUUAUAACGAUUAUCAAUUAACAAUCAAUUCAGAACUGGCACGGACUUGGGGAAUCCGACUGUCUAAUUAAAACAAAGCAUUGUGAUGGCCCUAGCGGGUGUUGACACAAUGUGAUUUCUGCCCAGUGCUCUGAAUGUCAAAGUGAAGAAAUUCAAGUAAGCGCGGGUCAACGGCGGGAGUAACUAUGACUCUCUUAAGGUCUUAAGCUCUUUCAUUGACGACGAAUUGCAAAGGGCUCGAGAUAGAUUAAAGGCGGAAAAUGUGCAGCUGUGUUCGCGUCCAGAGAUUGACUCGUAUUUCGCAAAUAGAUUGUACAUGUCUGUUGAUGGUUGCGGUCUCCGUGAAGCAGGUCAUUAUGGCCCGCAACAUGGAUGGGUGAGUCAGCCCACGCGCUUGCUAACAGGAAAGGAAUAUUUGCACGGU
rnacentral:ncRNA from 1 species